GAAGCAGCCACCAUUUAAAGAGUGCGUAAUAGCUCACUAGUCGAGUGACCCUGCGCCGAAAAUGUACCGGGGCUAAAUAGUUUACCGAAGCUGUGGAGUGCACCAUCAGGUGCAUUGGUAGGAGAGCGUUCUAAGGGCGUUGAAGGCAGAUCGUGAGGACUGCUGGAGCGCUUAGAAGUGAGAAUGCCGGUAUGAGUAGCGAAAGACAGGUGAGAAUCCUGUCCACCGAAUGACUAAGGUUUCCUGGGGAAGGCUCGUCCGCCCAGGGUUAGUCGGGACCUAAGCCGAGGCCGACAGGCGUAGGCGAUGGACAACAGGUUGAUAUUCCUGUACCCGUUGUUUUUGUUUGAGCAAUGGAGGGACGCAGGAGGCUAAGAAGUGCAGACUGAUGGAUAUGUCUGUUCAAGCAGUAAGUCUUGGUAGGAGUCAAAUGCUUCUACCUAUACGGACAAGCUGUGAUGAGGAGGGAAAUAAUAGUACCGAAGCUUCUGAUGUCACACUGCCAAGAAAAGCUUCUAGUGAGAAAACAACGGCCCGUACCGCAAACCGA
rnacentral:rRNA from 1 species